rnacentral:rRNA from 1 species
UGCGUAGGUGGUCGUUUAAGUCUGUUGUGAAAGCCCUGGGCUCAACCUGGGAACUGCAGUGGAGACUGGACGACUAGAGUGUGGUAGGGGGUAGCGGAAUUCCUGGUGUAGCAGUGAAAUGCGUAGAGAUCAGGAGGAACAUCCAUGGCGAAGGCAGCUACCUGGACCAACACUGACACUGAGGCACGAAGCGUGGGGAGCAAACA